GGUUCCUUAACUUAAUAGGUAAAGUAUGCUUUUGAUAAGAGUACGUUUGGCGUUCAAAUCGCUGAGGAAUCA
rnacentral:tRNA from 1 species